rnacentral:sRNA from 1 species
ACCCACACCUACACUCUCAGGCCAAUGUCACAGUCAACUCUCCACCUCCGAAACAGUCAAAUUGAUGAAGGGGAGGGGGCGGAAAUACCGGGCAGGACCCAUGGAUCCAGCAUGACGGAGGGUUCAUCCGCCGUAGAGAUAGAGGUUAAUACGAGUGGAGAGACCCGACAACACAACAUACUUAUCUAUUCCUGAGAGCCCGUCCUCCCAAACCACGCCGCCGGUGCUCCGUAAAGAACCAUACAUAACCCGCAGUAAUACGCCGUACCGCCAAAUACCGACUUCCCGUCGCCGGGGGUCCUGCAAUCCCGGCGAAUCAGCGGGCGAGGAGGAGAGAGGAGAAUGGGCUAGUAUUGCCACUGCAGCCACCUUGGCUAUCACCACGCGCACAUCCCACUCCUCGGAACCCCUCGCGGCCCCGGCUGGACUGUUGGGCUUUGUCGACUCUGGACUCUGGGCUCCGGCUGAGGGCCAACGGCCAGCACUUCCCCC